AGUGAACGCUGGCGGUAGGCCUAACACAUGCAAGUCGAACGGCAGCACAGUAAGAGCUUGCUCUUACGGGUGGCGAGUGGCGGACGGGUGAGGAAUACAUCGGAAUCUACUUUUUCGUGGGGGAUAACGUAGGGAAACUUACGCUAAUACCGCAUACGACCUACGGGUGAAAGCAGGGGAUCUUCUGACCUUGCGCGAUUGAAUGAGCCGAUGUCGGAUUAGCUAGUUGGCGGGGUAAAGGCCCACCAAGGCGACGAUCCGUAGCUGGUCUGAGAGGAUGAACCGGUACCCGGGCACUGAGGCACGGUCGAGACACUUACGCGAGGCAGCAGUGGGGAAUAUUGGACGAGGGGGGAAAGGCUGAUCCAGCGAUACCGCGUGGGUGAAGAAGGAGUUCGGGUGGUAAAGCCAUGUUGUUGGGAAAGAAGAGCAGCAGUUUAAUCCCCCGCUGUUAUGACGGUACCCAAAGAAUAAGCACCGGCUAACUUCGUG
rnacentral:rRNA from 1 species